rnacentral:rRNA from 1 species
UACAGAGGGUGCGAGCGUUGUCCGGAAUCACUGGGCGUAAAGGGCGCGUAGGCGGCUCGGUCAGCGUGCGGUGAAAGCCCGGGGCUCAACCCCGGGUCGGCCGUGCGAACUGCUGGGCUGGAGCACUGUAGAGGUAGGUGGAAUUCCGGGUGUAGCGGUGGAAUGCGUAGAGAUCCGGAAGAACACCGGUGGCGAAGGCGGCCUGCUGGGCUAUGGCUGACACUGAGGCGCGACAGCGUGGGGAGCAAACAGG